UAACCAUUGACCAGGUUAAUCAUGUUACUCAGAAGAGAUAAUUCACUUUGUUAAUAGGAAGCAAUUUUUUUCCUCAGUAGGUGUAAGAGUGUGUGUCAAACAGAAGUAACAUUUUAACGUAUAAGAGAUGUAGCUGAGCUCUAAAUAUAGGAGACAGUAUGAUAAUUUUUUACAUUUCAAAUUCUCUGCCUGCAUUAGAAUAUUUUUGCAGAAUGUGUAAAAAAAAUCUAAUGAAUUGAUUGGAAUGUGCAGGAACAAGAAAUAUGGUUGUGGUUUUUACGUAAAGCUUUUAUAUAGUUCCUUUAAAAAUAUAAUUAUCUCAUUUACCUAUUUCCUUAAGGCAAUGGGUGUAUUUUGUUUUAUUAUUUUUGAUCCCCUGAUUUUUCUGACUAUGGUUCACAAAAAAUCCGUAAGAUAAAAUACAAUCCUGCACUUUAUCUUCAUGCAAGUUUUUUUCUGCUAAAUUAAUAUUUUGUAUAUUUUUAUUUUGUAUAUAUUUGGUAUAAUUCUGUUAAUAUUUUAUAUAUUUUGUAUAUUUGUAUAUGAGAUGCAGAUGCUUUAGACAACAUGAAAAUAUCUUUGAACAUCCCUAUUUUACCAAGGAAGAAAGAUAACCAAAGCACAUGAUUUAAUAGAUUUGAUAAUUAACUGAUAUGGAUAUGAAGAGGCUACUGCUACAAGUUUAUGUAGGUUGGCUAUUUUCCCCGCACUUUAGUGACUGAUCACUGUUUCUUUACGAAUGGAUGUAUUUGUCUUGUUCUAUAGUUACCAUUCAUUGAAUUGUUACAUGUGCAAUCACUAUUGUAUAUGAGCUGUUCAGAUAUGUGUGAUGUACACGUGCGCAGGGAUCUUUGUCCUUUGUGAUUAGUGUAAUUGUGCAUACCCAUCUUGUUUGUGAGUCUCUUGGUCAUUCCAAACUAAGCUAAUCAUCCUGUACUUUAUCUUCAUGCAACAGUUUUUUCUGCUAAAUUAAUAUUUUGUAUAUUUUUAUUUUGUAUAUAUUUGGUAUAAUUCUGUUAAUAUUUUAUAUAUAUUGUAUAUUUGUAUAUGAGAUGCAGAUGCUUUAGACAACAUGAAAAUAUCUUCGAACAUCCAUAUUUUACCAAAGAAGAAAGAUGACCAAAGCACAUGAUUAAUAGAUUUUAGAAUUAACUGGCAAGUUACACCAGUUUCAAUUUCCCAGAACUCUAAUAUAUAUCCCUGCAUUCUUAUCAUGAAAUAUACAGUAACAAGGAAAGAAAUUAAUAUAUUAAAGUAUCUUAAUCUAUCCAAUUAAAUGGUAUUUUGAAAAGGACUUUAAUGCUGUCUUUUGACAUUGAAAUAAAGUGAGUUUAUCUUGAAAUUCUGUAAGAUAAUGAAGAGUUGGUAAUUACAUCUUUACAGUUUAUUGCUCUUUAAAUUGCAGAAUCUUCAUUAUUUCUGCGAGAGGUCACAAGCAUGUUCAUCUUAACUUGACUAUUAUACAAAUAAGUCUUUAUUAAUACGUCUAUAGAAGUAGCCAAAUCAUUCAUUCCAUGACUAGGCAAUUAAGUAAUCCUGUUAAGAUAAAGAAGUAAUGACUCAAAUUGGUUGGGUAAAACUGUAAGACACAAUGUCAGCAAGGUGAAAUAACUUCUCUUUAGCACUUUGCCUAAAUAACGUUUUUUUUUAAAGAGACAUAUGCAAAAAGAACAUGAAUGUGUCAUGAAUUAAUUUGUGCAUGGUUUCCCUAUACAAUAGUCACAGUAGCAACCACAAUUAUGGUAAAUUAAAAGUUGUAAAACUAAAUGUUUUUAGAUCAACAGUUUUCUCUUUAAUGCUUUUAUCAAUUUAAUGCUGGCCUAUUUUUCUGGGCUUCCAU
rnacentral:lncRNA from 10 species